GUGGAUGUAGCUCAGUUGGUUAGAGCACCAGAUUGUGGUUCUGGGGGUCGUCGGUUCGAGCCCGAUCUUCCACCCCA
rnacentral:tRNA from 1 species